CGGGGUGCUACAGUCGUCAUAAGAUCAGCUUUUAUGCUGAUAAAAAUGAGCGUAAAGCAGAGAGAAACGCUAUACGAGCGUUAAGCGGGGCUCUUGACCUUCCGGACAACGAGUUUGUUCAGAAUUAUAAAAUGUCCAAGGAGAUGGUGCAGUAUUUGUGCCAGGAAUUAGGUGAGGAUCUGUCUCCUAGGACAUCUCAGGGUCUGCCUGUUCCGAUCAAAGUUCAUUGUUCGGUUAAAGUCCUGCUUUCAGGACAUUAUCAACGAGGCACUGGUAACGAGCAAAAUCUGGCCAAACCACCGUCAGCAAAUUUUUAAAACAAUUUGUUGUUGCAGUAAAUACGAGAUUGAAACCACAGUGGAUAGUGUUCCCAAAUACAGAGACAGGAAGGCAGACGGUAGCAUCUGUCUACCUUACAAAGUUUGGCCUUCCUGAUGUAUUGGGAGCAAUUGACUGCACCCAUGUGAAGCUAUUUCCACCUCCAAAGCCACAUCAAGCCCAAU